rnacentral:rRNA from 1 species
UACGUAGGGUGCAAGCGUUCAUCGGAAUUACUGGGCGUAAAGCGUGCGCAGGCGGUUGUGCAAGACAGAGGGGAAAUCCCCGAGCUUAACUUGGGAACUGCCUUUGUGACUGCAUAGCUAGAGUGUGUCAGAGGGGGGUAGAAUUCCACGUGUAGCAGUGAAAUGCGUAGAGAUGUGGAGGAAUACCGAUGGCGAAGGCAGCCCCCUGGGAUAACACUGACGCUCAUGCACGAAAGCGUGGGGAGCAAACAGG